UUUAUCAAGAGCGGCGGAGGGACUGGCCCUAUGAAGCCCGGCAACCUGAUACGGUGCUAAAUCCUGCGGAUGAUCCGAGAGAUAAA
rnacentral:ncRNA from 1 species